UUGUUGGUUUUAAGAACUGAGGCCAUAAUUAAGAGGGAUGCUUGGGGGCAUUCCUAUUGUGUCACUAAAGGUGAAAUUCUUGGACCAGUGCAAGACCAGAGGGAAAGCAUUUGCCAAAAGAAAGAAAGUCGGAAUUUCAAAGACGAUCAGACACUGUCGUAAUUCCCACCAUAAAUGAUGCUGACUGUGGAUGCAGUGGCGUUAUUCCCUUGAUCCCCGGGCAGCUUCCAGGAAACCUAAGUCUUUUGGUUCUGGAGGGAAUAUGGUUGCAAAGCAGAAACUUAAAGUAAUUGAUGGAAGGGCACCACUAGGAGUGGAGCCUGCGACUUAAUUUGACUCAACAAGGGAAACAUCACCCAGUCCGGAUAUGGACAGGAUUGACAGAUUAAUAGCUCUUUCUCAAUUCCAUCAGUGGUGGUGCAUGGCUGUUCUUAGUUGGUGGAGCGAUUUGUCUGGUUAGUUCUGAUAAGGAAGGAGACUCUGGCAUGCUAACUAGUUAAGCGACUUCCCCAACUUCUUAGAGGGACAAGUGGCGUUCAACCACCCGAUUGAGAAAUAACAGGUCUGUGAUGGCCUUAGAUGUCCGGGAUGAACACACACUACACUGACUGGCUCAGCAUGUGCCUACUAUAUGCUGGCAGGCCUGGGUAACCCGUUGAUGGGGACCGGGGAUUGCAAUUAUUCCCCAUGAACAAGGAAUUCCCAGUAAGUUCGGGUCACAAGAUUGUGUGGAUUAAAUCCCUGCCCUUUGUACAAACAGCCCACCCUACAAUUGGUUGAUUUAGUGAGGCCCUCAGAUCGGCCCUGCUGGGGUUGGCCCAUGGCC
rnacentral:ncRNA from 1 species